rnacentral:misc_RNA from 1 species
UGAUUCAGAAGCAAACUCAGAGGAAAGCUUUGAGACUGAGCUUUCAUCGGCUGAAAAGAGAAUCCAUCAAUCUGCAGUCAGUUCAUGUUGUGGCUAUGAUAAGAUGGAUGAAUCAACAAGCAGCAGUGAUGACAAGAUUGAUUCAGAAAUAAAAUAUUCAAGAUCUCACAUAAUCGAUUCUGGCUGUAGUUCCACACCAGGGGAGAAAUCUCACAAAGGGGAAGGUUCCAGAAGGCGCAGCAAAAAUGCUGGCUUAAACAA